rnacentral:rRNA from 1 species
UGGGGAAUAUUGCACAAUGGGGGAAACCCUGAUGCAGCGACGCCGCGUGAGCGAAGAAGGCUUUCGAGUCGUAAAGCUCUGUCCUAUGAGAAGAUAAUGACGGUAUCAUAGGAGGAAGCCCUGGCUAAAUACGUGCCAGCAGCCGCGGUAAUACGUAUGGGGCGAGCGUUGUCCGGAAUUAUUGGGCGUAAAGCGCGCGCAGGCGGACUAGCCAGUCAGUCUUAAAAGUUCGGGGCUUAACCCCGUGAUGGGAUUGAAACUACUAGUCUAGAGUAUCGGAGAGGAAAGUGGAAUUCCUAGUGUAGCGGUGAAAUGCGUAGAUAUUAGGAAGAACACCAGUGGCGAAGGCGACUUUCUGGACGAACACUGACGCUGAGGCGCGAAAGCCAGGGGAGCGAACGGG